UUCUUAACUGACUGAGCGGCGGACGGGUGAGUAACGCGUGGGUGACCUGCCCCAUACCGGGGGAUAACAGCUGGAAACGGCUGCUAAUACCGCAUAAGCGCACAGAGCUGCAUGGCUCGGUGUGAAAAACUCCGGUGGUAUGGGAUGGGCCCGCGUCUGAUUAGGCAGUUGGCGGGGUAACGGCCCACCAAACCGACGAUCAGUAGCCGGCCUGAGAGGGCGACCGGCCACAUUGGGACUGAGACACGGCCCAAACUCCUACGGGAGGCAGCAGUGGGGAAUAUUGCACAAUGGGGGAAACCCUGAUGCAGCGACGCCGCGUGAGCGAAGAAGUAUUUCGGUAUGUAAAGCUCUAUCAGCAGGGAAGAUAAUGACGGUACCUGACUAAGAAGCCCCGGCUAACUACGUGCCAGCAGCCGCGGUAAUACGUAGGGGGCAAGCGUUAUCCGGAUUUACUGGGUGUAAAGGGAGCGUAGACGGCAAGGCAAGUCUGAUGUGAAAACCCAGGGCUUAACCCUGGGACUGCAUUGGAAACUGUCUGGCUCGAGUGCCGGAGAGGUAAGCGGAAUUCCUAGUGUAGCGGUGAAAUGCGUAGAUAUUAGGAAGAACACCAGUGGCGAAGGCGGC
rnacentral:rRNA from 1 species